UUGCUGUGAUGACUUUCAUUGGGUUUCGCACGUUGCUGAGUUCCAAUGAUGCCUCUUUCUCUUGUCUGUCUGAGCAG
ensembl:snoRNA SNORD53B small nucleolar RNA, C/D box 53B